AUACGGAGGGGGUUAGCGUUGUUCGGAAUUACUGGGCGUAAAGCGUACGUAGGCGGAUUAGUAAGUUAGGGGUGAAAUCCCAGGGCUCAACCCUGGAACUGCCUCUAAAACUGCUAGUCUAGAGAUCGUGAGAGGUGAGUGGAAUUCCGAGUGUAGAGGUGAAAUUCGUAGAUAUUCGGAGGAACAUCAGUGGCGAAGGCGGCUCACUGGCACGAUACUGACGCUGAGGUACGAAAGUGUGGGGAGCAAACAGGAUUAGAAACCCCAGUAGUCC
rnacentral:rRNA from 1 species